rnacentral:rRNA from 1 species
GUAAGACUGGGAUAACUCCGGGAAACCGGAGCUAAUACCGGAUAGUUCCUUGAACCGCAUGGUUCAAGGAUGAAAGACGGUUUCGGCUGUCACUUACAGAUGGACCCGCGGCGCAUUAGCUAGUUGGUGAGGUAACGGCUCACCAAGGCGACGAUGCGUAGCCGACCUGAGAGGGUGAUCGGCCACACUGGGACUGAGACACGGCCCAGACUCCUACGGGAGGCAGCAGUAGGGAAUCUUCCGCAAUGGACGAAAGUCUGACGGAGCAACGCCGCGUGAGUGAUGAAGGUUUUCGGAUCGUAAAGCUCUGUUGUUAGGGAAGAACAAGUGCAAGAGUAACUGCUUGCACCUUGACGGUACCUAACCAGAAAGCCACGGCUAACUACGUGCCAGCAGCCGCGGUAAUACGUAGGUGGCAAGCGUUGUCCGGAAUUAUUGGGCGUAAAGGGCUCGCAGGCGGUUUCUUAAGUCUGAUGUGAAAGCCCCC